UCACCUCUCAAGCCUGGCUUGCUGUUGGACUUUCGGUAUAGCUUUAGCUAGGACCGGUCCCAAAGAUAAUGACGGCGUCUGUGAGGACUCCAGUACACUGAGCUUUGAUUAGCACGUAUUAGGUGGAACUCCAGGCCCGGUCUUACCUAUUUUUCUCUUUAA
rnacentral:misc_RNA from 1 species